AUCUCAUUCGAGUCCAUCACCUCUCUAAAAAUGGUGUACGAUUACGAGAUGUGAAGAGAUGGUUGGCAGAAUUGCGAGGAAAGGACAUGCCGGAAUCAUUUUCUUGGUCAUACAAGAGGAAGUAUAGGACAGGUUACAUAUGGCAAGAUUUGCUGGAUGAUGAUCUCAUUACUCCAAUGUCGGACAAUGAAUAUGUUCUCAAAGGAUCAGAGAUUUCGUCUUCCACUUUUAAUAAGUUUA